AGUGAACGCUGGCGGUAGGCCUAACACAUGCAAGUCGAACGGCAGCACAGGAGAGCUUGCUCUCUGGGUGGCGAGUGGCGGACGGGUGAGGAAUACAUCGGAAUCUACUCUGUCGUGGGGGAUAACGUAGGGAAACUUACGCUAAUACCGCAUACGACCUACGGGUGAAAGCAGGGGAUCUUCGGACCUUGCGCGAUUGAAUGAGCCGAUGUCGGAUUAGCUAGUUGGCGGGGUAAAGGCCCACCAAGGCGACGAUCCGUAGCUGGUCUGAGAGGAUGAGCAUCCACACUGAAACUGAGACACGGCUCAGACUCCUACGGGAGGCAGCAGUGGGGAAUAUUGGACAAUGGGCGCAAGCCUGAUUCAGCCAUACCGCGUGGGUGAAGAAGGCCUUCGGGUUGUAAAGCCCUUUUGUUGGGAAAGAAAUCCAGCUGGCUAAUACCCGGUUGGGAUGACGGUACCCAAAGAAUAAGCACCGGCUAACUUCGUGCCAGCCGCCGCAGUAA
rnacentral:rRNA from 1 species